rnacentral:lncRNA from 1 species
AGCAGCACCGUCCGAGAGCGAAGAGGCAAACUCACUGUCCGAUAGUCUAUCCACCCUGACCACAGACGACGCCACCUCAAAUGCUCCAGCUGCAGAAAACGGGAGCGACACCACCUCGAAUGCUCCAGCUGCAGAAAACGGGACCGGCGCCACCCCAGAUGCUCCACCUGCAGAAAACGGGAACAACGCCACCCCAGAUGCUCCACCUGCAGAAAACGGGAACGACGCCACAUGAUCCUGAUGGUUAUAUUUUCAUCCGUAGCACUGUCCAUCAAUUAGCUUUAUAUACAAGGGUUGGUACCAAAAGUUGCUGCUGCUACCAGAAGUGAUUUUUUCUCUUUUCAGGUAGCAUAAUAGGUACACACCAUCAUACAGAUAGAUCGUAGCCGCCGUUUGUUCAUUAAGUUAAAUUUUGCUGAAUAGUAAGUACUAUACGGGAGAAAGAGAGAGAAAUACAGACACAUACAUAUAGUAGGCCGCCGGUUGGUUUGGUUGGCUGGCCAUUUCCUGUACACUCUUUAGUGCACAGCUCCAUUGCUCAACUCGUGCCUUGUCGGUCCGUCCAUGUGCUCCGUAUUUUUUUUCCUUCCAGUUUGCUGUACUGCUUGGACCAUUAUCGUUUUUGUACCAAACUGUCGUCGCUGCUGUGGAGUGUGGACCAUGCAUGGUGAGCUGUACAUAAACAUGUUGAUUUCUGGCAUGCCAAGGUAUCGUUGUACACAUUAUGGUAGCACAGUAGUACUCCCUCUUUAAACUAAUAUUAGAGCUUUUAGACUACUAAGACUAGCCAUAGUGGAGUAACUUCGAUAGUAACAUCGAGUCUAACUUAGCAAAUUUUCUUAUGUGGCAAUGAGUUAAUGAGGAGAGAUG